rnacentral:lncRNA from 1 species
UCCAGGGUGGCGCUGGCGGCUACAACAAAGGAUCAUCGGGCUUCGCCGGUGGUUCUUCCCACAAGAAUGUCAACGCUUACAACAAGAACCAGGGAUACAGUCACAGCUCGGGAUUCUCGUCAAGUAGCAGCAACACCUUACGGCACCGGCCACCAGCAGGCAUCGUCCGGAUUCGGUGUCGGUGGUUCUGGGCACAAGGGUGGCUACGGACAGUCGUCGUAUGGCCACAGUGCCGGUGCUGGCUUCGGAGGAGGCGCUGGCGGAGGAUACCACGGCUAAAGUUUUGCUACGAUCUCUACGCAGCUGCGUCGUCGGUGUCACUGCCGUAAUUUGGUUUCUUGGAGGCAUCCAAGCAUACAAUAAAGCUUGUUUCAUAAAAUACAG